UUAAGUUCAGCGGGUAUCCCUACCUGAUCCGAGGUCAAUUGAUAAAGGAGCUUGCUGGACGCUGAUCCACCGGGGCUUCGAGAAGCGCAAAUGUGCUGCACGAGAAGCCGGCACGACCGCUGCCAAUGACUUUGGGGCGAGUCCACGCGCAGAGGCGGGACAGACGCCCAACACCAAGCAGAGCUUGAGGGGGUAAAUGA
rnacentral:misc_RNA from 1 species